rnacentral:rRNA from 1 species
UACGGAGGAUGCAAGUGUUAUCCGGAAUUAUUGGGCGUAAAGAGCGCGCAGGUGGUUGAUUAAGUCUGAUGUGAAAGCCCACGGCUUAACCGUGGAGGGUCAUUGGAAACUGGUCGACUUGAGUGCAGAAGAGGGAAGUGGAAUUCCAUGUGUAGCGGUGAAAUGCGUAGAGAUAUGGAGGAACACCAGUGGCGAAGGCGGCUUCCUGGUCUGUAACUGACACUGAGGCGCGAAAGCGUGUGGAGCAAACAGGAUUA